AUGAACGCUGGCGGCGCAUUUAAGACAUGCAAGUCGAACGAAAACGAACAAAUUAAGAAGAGUGGAAGAUUUAUCUGAAAUGAUUUUUAGACCGUGAGUUUUAGUGGCGGACGGGUGAGUAAUACAUAGAUAAUCUACCUUUUAGAGGGAAAUAACUAGGAGAAAUCCAAGCUAAUGUCCCAUAAGACCACAUUACCGCAUGAUAAAGAGGUCAAAGGAGAAAUCCGCUAGAAGAUGAGUCUAUGGCUGAUUAGUUAGUUGGUGGGGUAAGAGCUUACCAAGACAAUGAUCAGUAGCCGAGCUGAGAGGCUGGCCGGCCACAUUGGGACUGAGACACGGCCCAGACUCCUACGGGAGGCAGCAGUUGGGAAUAUUGGACAAUGGAGGGAACUCUGAUCCAGUGACGCCGCGUGAAGGAAGAAGGUCUUCGGAUUGUAAACUUAUUUUAUCAGGGAAGAAAUAAAUGACAGUACCUGAAGAAGAAGGACCGGCUAACUACGUGCCAGCAGCCGCGGUAAUACGUAGGGUCCGAGCGUUAUCCGGAUUUACUGGGUGUAAAGGGCGAGUAGACGGAACUGCAAGUCAGAUGUGAAAUGCUAGAGCUCAACUUUAGAACUGCAUCUGAAACUGUGGAACUAGAGUGCAGGAGAGGUAAGCGGAAUUCCUAGUGUAGCGGUGAAAUGCGUAGAUAUUAGGAGGAACACCAGUGGCGAAGGCGGCUUACUGGACUGUAACUGACGUUGAGGCGCGAAAGUGUGGGGAGCAAACAGGAUUAGAUACCCUGGUAGUCCACACUGUAAACGAUGGAUACUAGGUGUAGGCAUGAAUGUGUCUGUGCCGUCGCAAACGCAGUAAGUAUCCCACCUGGGGAGUACGGCCGCAAGGUUGAAACUCAAAGGAAUUGACGGGGGCCCGCACAAGCAGUGGAGUAUGUGGUUUAAUUCGACGCAACGCGAAGAACCUUACCAAGUCUUGACAUCCCACUGACCGGACAGUAAUGUGUCCUUUCCUUCGGGACAGUGGUGACAGGUGGUGCAUGGUUGUCGUCAGCUCGUGUCGUGAGAUGUUGGGUUAAGUCCCGCAACGAGCGCAACCCUCGUGAUUAGUUGCCUUGAAGAAAGGAACUCUAAUCAGACUGCCGUAGUUAAUACGGAGGAAGGUGAGGAUGAUGUCAAAUCAUCACGUCCCUUAUGUCUUGGGCUACACACGUACUACAAUGGGUGUUACAAAGAGAAGCGAAACCGUAAGGUGGAGCAAAACUGAAAAAAGCAUCCCUAGUUCGGAUUGUAGGCUGCAACCCGCCUACAUGAAGCUGGAAUUGCUAGUAAUCAUAGGUCAGCAUACUAUGGUGAAUACGUUCCCGGGCCUUGUACACACCGCCCGUCACACCAUGAGAGUUGAGAAUACCCGAAGUCCAUGUAAAAGUGGCCGAAGGUAGGCUUGAUGAUUGGGGUG
rnacentral:rRNA from 1 species